ACCUCACGUUUCUUCGCGUGUUCCUCUGUUUCCUCAACCUCAACGUCCAAUUUUUUUCGCUGGAUAUUUUCUUCUGAAGUGAAAAAAUCAUCUUCUUCUUGUUUUCCAAUCCCUAACUUUGGAUCUCUAAUCCCAGAUUUUAUGGGCUCAACUAUUCCCUGCUCAUCCUUUCCAAGACCUUUCCCUUUCCAUCCCAUUUUCUGAAGAAGCCUAAACCCAAUGUUAGAUGCUGUCAACUUUGUGUCGAGUGAUGCCUGUUCAACAUUAUCCAGAUCCACAUUUUCUGUGGGCUUGUGAUUAAUAGGCAAGCGAAAAUCUUCCACCAAAUCCUCAAUAAGAGAAUCCUGCUCCCUAUUUUGUUGACUUUUUUCUUGGACUUCUCUUUCUGGUUCACUACUGUACCAUCUGUUGUCCAUUUUUUACCAGCUGCUGCUUCCGCCUUCUUACAGACUCGC
rnacentral:misc_RNA from 1 species